GAUGAACGCUGGCGGCGUGCCUAAUACAUGCAAGUCGAGCGAACAGACGAGGAGCUUGCUCCUCUGACGUUAGCGGCGGACGGGUGAGUAACACGUGGAUAACCUACCUAUAAUACUGGGAUAACUUCGGGAAACCGGAGCUAAUACCGGAUAAUAUAUUGAACCGCAUGGUUCAAUAGUGAAAGACGGUUUUGCUGUCACUUAUAGAUGGAUCCGCGCCGCAUUAGCUAGUUGGUAAGGUAACGGCUUACCAAGGCGACGAUGCGUAGCCGACCUGAGAGGGUGAUCAGCCACACUGGAACUGAGACACGGUCCAGACUCCUACGGGAGGCAGCAGUAGGGAAUCUUCCGCAAUGGGCGAAAGCCUGACGGAGCAACGCCGCGUGAGUGAUGAAGGUCUUCGGAUCGUAAAACUCUGUUAUUAGGGAAGAACAAAUGUGUAAGUAACUAUGCACGUCUUGACGGUACCUAAUCAGAAAGCCACGGCUAACUACGUG
rnacentral:rRNA from 1 species